AAACACAAAACUGGUUCGAACCGGUUUCGUUCUUAUAUUUCAGCGUAAACUACAAAACCAUUUGUUUGCAUUAUACAUUCGCCAUUUUACACAGCUACUGGUCGGUUGUUGUGUGUUAUCUCUCCGGAGAAAAACCCCGUCUUUACGGUUUUAUUUUGUGAGCUUUCUGUACAUUUCCUACCAGCAACAUGGGCAAAGCAAAGACUGCCCCUCCAGAGCAAAGAAGACAAUCUGUACGGCUGCGGACGAAACCACAAAAGGCUGUGGAGCCGAAGAAAAAACCUGCUGUAAAAAGGGCAGCCAAACCAAAGAAGGACAAGCAGGCUGAAAAUGGGAACCCCAAGGCUGAGGAGUCAAAGGCCGAAGCCACCGAAGCCAAAUGAAUAACGGUUGACGUGCUCACUCUGUGUACUUGGUGAUUGUACAGUUUUAAAUAAGUAUUUUUACCAAGUUUUAUAUUACAAAUGUCAUUUAUAGGUUUGGUUUGGGCUUGCACUCGAUGUAACAAAAGUUUGUUGUCACGUUCAUAUCCAUUUUAUAUCCAUUUAAAAAACGAUUACCGUCCAUAUCUUGUAGAAGUGGCAUUUUUAGUUUGUCUAAUCCUGUUUUGUUGGCUUUUUUAUUUUUGAACUGCUGAGUAAUAGAAGUUUUUCCAACAAGUUGGAUUUGAAUCUUAUUUUAAACAUUAUAAGGCAGCUAAAGCAUAUUAUUAAAAUUUGAGGGGGACAGGGGAUUGUUUUCCUCUGAUCUUAUAUUUUAAUGUGUAACUAAUAACAAAUUGCUUACCAAAUGUUUUAAAACACUGUAUGUUGACAUAAGAUCCAGUCAGUGAAAAUACCAUGGAGUGAAAAUACCAUGAAGAAUACUGUUACUAGGUCAUAGGACUGGUACAUCCCCCAAAAAAAACAUAUUUGAUGUGAACCUUGUCACCUGAUCAAGAGUCCUGUUAAGUUAUGUUUCUGCUCUCUGACUGAAGCUUUUCUGACUAUAAUGGUUGAUCUAAAUGUUCUUGAAUAAAACUUGUUAAAAUGUC